ACAUCCACACAUUUCUCCUUGCUCCCGCUGCCCCUUCCCACGCUGCCUCCCUGCUCCCAUGUUGGUUUCGUUCGUACGGCGCUGCACAGGCCGCCGCAUCGAGCCAUUAGGCGGACGCCCGCCCUGGCCCCUACCCUUGUCGGCCGCCGGCCGCCCGCGCCCUACCACGCCCCUGCUCCUGCCCUCGCCGGCCGCCGACCAAUCUCCAUCACUGAAGGUCGCCGGUGCACUAGAUGUCUGCAUCAGGUGCCGGCCGCCGGAGUACCAGGUGCCCCAGCCAACAGUUCGCCUAGGUGCUGGCCGCCUGAGCACCAGACAUACUUGCUCCCAUCGUGUGCCCACACUAGCAGGGUCCUCUGCAGCUGGUCACCCCAAAUCUUCUAAAGGUAUGUGCUUUAUCUGAAAUAGAUGCAAAUACAGGCAAUGGAUGGCACGUAUAGCAUUGGAUUUGCAGGAUCUAUUUUUGGUUCUUGAGUCCGUCCAUUUUUUGGAUGGGGGAAUUGUUUGUAGCCUCAAACUUGCUUGUUGUAUUGGUUGUUUCACCUGAAAGGAGAGGGACCUAGUGCUCACUGUAAAUUUGCUAUGGCAAUGGUGGACUGAAAGAAAUAGAGUCUGAGAGGGAGAAAGGAGAUGGGAAACUAGCUGGACAGCGUAUAUUGUCUCUUUGCAAUUUUUUUUUGACAACAGUCUCUUUGCAAAUUGAUGAGUUCUUGAGCAUCAUAGAGAAAGAAAUAAAAAGAACACGAAGGCUGAAACAGACAUGGGAAUGGGUUCAAGUGUUUUUACUUGCCACAUUCAUUUUAUACAGGCACUGCGGAUUCAAUCUGUUACUAGAUUCAUUUUUUUCCUCUUGUCAAAAUUAUAUUAUAAGGUCAAGAGAGUAGAAAGCUAAGGAUCCCUAGUACAACCUGAGAGCUUAAUUAAUUCUUUACAUUAUUCUUACCAUUUGGUUCAAGUUCACUCAUGAAGUCAGGCAUUUAUAUGUGUCGCCUGUGAUAGGCUAAUAAUGAAAAAGGAUAUCUGCAUAUGUGAAACCCUAAAUAAUGGUGUAUAUAUGUUCUUGUUUGAUUUGCCUUGUAAGUUUGUACUGUGUCAGCUUCCUAAGAUGGUUAGUCAUAUCUUGAACUGAAUCUUAUUGCUUUAUUAUUUAUAUAUAUUCAUCAUCCGAUCCGUGGGUCUAAUUUGAACAAGGAGAUGGUGUAUCUUAACAACCUUGUAUUCCUACUUUCAUAGUGUCAGGUUCGAAACCAUCCUAAUUUCUGGGUUAGGAGCACCUAGCAGGAUCUAUUUUCGUUUUACUUUGCAAGUUUUUGGUAAAUAGGUCCAUCCCUAAAGUAGUAAUUUGCAAUAAUCCAUUAAUCCAUGUUUAGGGCAACAUAUAUGUACUCAGAUAUUAAAAAAACAACUAGGACCUAUAACUUAUCUGAGAGGAAAUGGAGUUGAAUAUUUCUCAUUCAGUUAUAGCCUUGACAGUUUUGAAGUAGAAAGAGAUGUGGUUAAGGCCUAGAACAGGUGCAAUCUUCAGCAUGUGUAUUUUAUCUUAGUUAUACAAUUCUCUUUGUGUUUGAAAUGACUGGUUGAAGUUUGAUCAAAACUUGUUUGCCUAGGGUAUUUCAACCAAUUGUAUACUAUGCUGUAUCUUUUGUCUUUUUAGUACAAGAAUGUUUUGCCUGUUAAAGGACACUAAAUUUGAGUGGUACGUCAGUUUCUUCCUGGAAUCAAUUAUUUUUAUGCACAACAGUUUUGUUAUUGACAUGACAAAUUAUCUUAUUCUCAAUUUUGAUGAUCCUGGUCCAUAUGGAGCAAGUAGAUAUUCAGACCAUACGCUACCUGAAGUCCUGAAACUAUGAAGAGAGAAGAAAAGGUGCACAGGUGAUAAUUCCAUCUGACUGAUCUCCCUAAAAAAUGUGGAAAUUUUAAGGGUUACAAACAUACUACUACAUCUUUUGUAUCCUGGAGUGAUUGGGGCUGUUGCAGCUUGCUCCAAACUAUCUGAGAGUUUACCAUCACUUAACACUAAACAAAAGGUUUCUGCCUUUGCCAGCCUUGGCUUUAAUCUUGCUUCCCCUCUAGCUUGUCCAACAUUUUCUGCUUCUGCCAGCAAGUAUUUGGUUUAAUCUUGCUUUCCCUCUGGCUUGUCUGAUAGAAGAGGCAACUUCUCAGUGCUAUUGAAUGGAUGGAUGGUAAGCAAAAGCUGCAUGAGUGCUGGCUAUAGUCACACGUGAAUAUAACUACAAAAGUUUCAUGGGUGCUACGUGAUCUGGACUAGAGCCCUGUUUGGAUUCAGCUAUAAUAAUUUUGUAGUGCAAGUAGUCGGGUGAUGUCUUCUGACGAAGGAUCGAUUUGCACUUGUAAAUUAGCGUGGUAUAUGGCUAGAUGUAGCAGGUUUCAAAAUUAUAGAUUUGUAAGGAUGCUUCUCUAUGAUUAUUGCUUGCCCAUUUUGAAAUUCUAAUUGUGGUUGUUUAGACAAUGAUACUAAAAUGGGUGCUUAUUUAUUUGAAUGUGGCUCAUAAUAAUAUGUUGACCCACUACUUUUUUGCACUCUUAUAGCGUGGAAACUUUUGAGGCUUCAGACCCACUAUUUACUUCAUACGUGUUAGAAUGAAAAUUUUAAGUCACCUGUACCAAGGCACAGGUUCUUCUCUUCUUUGUUUCAUGCUGCAUCUCUUGUACGGCAUUGGCACUAGGUGAUGUUGUUCAUAAUCAACAUGCAGUUUAGGGAGGGAGCUAGCAGAGGCAACCACGGAGCUCACAGUUCUGGCCACUACAGGAUAAGGGGUCUUCCUCAUGUUCAAGCCAUUAGAACUAGGACGUGGCUAGCCUCUGUGUGAGGAAAAGCUUCCUGAAAACUUGAGAUAGGAGCUGGUGGCACAUGUACAGUUAGUGGGACAUGUAGUAUGAAAUUAGUAAUUAGCAAGUGACUAUUGUAUAUAAUUAGCAAGUGACAUGUAUAUAAGACCCUCGCAGAUCACCUUUGCCUCUUGUUGCUGCAGAUUGAUACUCAUCAUGUUUUCACUAGUUCCAUAUUAAGUGACAUUACAUAUACAAUGUACUAGGUCAAUACAAGAAUCAAUGUAUGGAUAAUUUGAUCACUUUUGAAUGUCAUCACUUUUGUGUAUGUGAACCAAGGUAUGACUAA